ACAGCGGCGGGAGGCGGGGGAGGGGAGGAAGGGAUUCUCAGCAACGUGAACCCCUGAAAGGAGUGACUCAGCUAGAAAAGUCACACUUGCUAGAAAAAUGCCUCCAGGGUUCCUCACUGUGGCUGACCCCAGAGUGAGACAACUGACUUUAAUUUGGGUAAAAACACUGACGGCGACUGGAGGAAACCUCCCUGUUCCUGCGCACAGAGAGGAACAACACACUCCCUUCCAAGGAGCUGCUGGAGACCCAGGAGCAAAAGAGGGAGCUGAAGACCAGCAGCCUGAGGAAGACCGCACCCCGGGGGAAGGCAGUGAGGGCGCCGCGGGGCCCUGCCUGCCCUGUGCAGCUUUGUCGGAGUAGAAGCCAGGAGACGCGGGAGUGAAGGACCCAGGGAAUUGGUGCCCGUGGGGCCGGGGCUCGAUGUGCACAGCUCCGUGCUGAGAGGGAGAAUGGCUGGUAUUUAAAAAUAACAGAGGCUCCCAGCAGGGCCCAUCCACCGAUUGGCAGCCGGGCUCUAUGCUGCCUCGGAGGCACAAAGCCUACGCCCCGGGAGCGGCUCUGAGACAGGAAAGCUUUAGCCUUCGGGCGGCAUUUCAUUCCUUUCUGGAAGGAAGAAUCGUUCCCUGGUUUCCCGGUGACAGCUGGAGCUGUGCCAGACAGACUCCUACUAACCCAUGGGAGGUGUUUGUUCUAAGGCCGUACACUUACCCAUGAUUUAUCCCAACCCCGGCGCUAAGCCUUUUGUCAUUAACUGCUGUUUCAGGCCCUGCCUGCUAACAUGCACCUGCACCAGAUUUUAGUUGCAAAGGGGAGAGGGCUGUGUCCAGUUGGGAAAUGGCAGCACUGGACCCCUGCUGCUCACGGGGCCCACAGCCCACGGCCUCCUCUCCUCUGAGUGGCCUAAGUCCGGCUGCCUUGUUUGUCACUGAGAUCGGUCCCAGGAGGCCACCAGGUUGCUGUGGGGUGGCAGUGGGGCAGCUUCUCCCCGCCCCAGUGAGGAGUUCACCCCGUGUCCACUGCAGAAAGGAGUCAUUUCCCUCUCAGAAGGAGGGUCUUUUCUCCUCCCGAGAGAAAUGGGGGUGAUGAAUGAAAUCUGAGGGGGCACUGAAAGGAAGAAUUUUCACGGGAGCAUGAUGGGAGCACAGAGGGGGCUGUAACCCCAAACCUAGAGACCUAGAACCAAGCCACAGACCUCUUGUUCACCCUCACAGCCCACCACUACCCCCACCAUCACCCAGGCUUAUAUGUGUGCUUGCUUGUUUGAGCCUCAGUUUCCCCUUCUGAAAAGGGGACACCGUGUGUUCACUCUGUGUUCUAGGAUCAAGGGAGGAGGUCAAAGAGCAGUGGCUGCCUGUCCUGGACCUAAAAAGCAGCAAGGCCAACUGGCCAGUGAAGGAGCGGUAGAGGUGGGGACAUGAGGGGUCCGCCAGCUCCGAGGGGGUGUGCAGCUUCUCAUUGCUGACAAAGCUCGGCAACAGAAAGCAUUGAGAUGGGGCCUUAUCACCAGCCAGAGAGGAGGGCGGGGCAGGCCUUCCACCCCCACUUUAUCCUGGGGAAUGCUGAGCUCCUACAGGCUGAGCGCCCUGCACAGGGUCCACAGUCAGUGUCGGCAUUCAGAGUCCACUUUGGACUUCCAACCCAUAUCCCUCCCAUACACCAUGCUAUGAUGGCCACGAGAUGGGCAAGAGUGUGUGUCAGGGUUGGGGUUGCAGGGCGAUGGCAGGAGAAAUGCACCUUGAAAGGAUGCAGCACCACUGCUGGGCACCUGGGAGAGACAGGGAUGGAGUCACAUCUAGCUGGACACCAGUGCUGGCAGGACCUGGCACUCAGAGGCCAGCACCUCAAAAUGCAGAUAUGGAAGCUGAAGAAUGGGG